GAUGAAGAACGUAGCGAAAUGCGAUAAGUAAUGUGAAUUGCAGAUUUCAGUGAAUCAUCGAAUCUUUGAACGCACCUUGCGCCUUGUGGUAUUCCACAAGGCAUGCCCGUUUGAGUAUCAUUAAAUCAUCAACUCUAAAACCUUUGUGGUUUUUUUUAGAGCUUGGUCUUGAGGGUUUUGCAGGCUUUUUUUUUUUUUUCGAGUCUGCUCCCUUUAAAUGCAUUAGCGAGACUUCCCUAUGCUGAACCGUCUCUUUGACGUGAUAAUUAUCUGCGUCGAAUUUUGGUUCUCGUUGGGCUUGCUUCUAAUCGUCUGUUAAAGACAAAACGGAUUUGGGUGCAUAUAUGCGCCUUUUUCCAAAACCUUUUUUUGAUCUCAAAUCGGGUAGGACUACCCGCUGAACUUAAGCAUAUCAAUAAGCGGAGGA
rnacentral:misc_RNA from 1 species